rnacentral:sRNA from 15 species
UUUUGUUUAUACCGUCGCUUGUGUUGGUGUCAUUUCGUAAGCGAAAGCUCGUUUAGCACGUAUUUAAAAGAAUUAAAAUUAAAAACUGAUUGGUGUAGGCGAUAUAAAAGAACAGGCGGAACGCUACCGCACGUACAUAUACCAAUGUAAAUAGAUAUGUAUCAUAGACAUUACACGACGUUCGCGGAGCAAUAAUUAAAUACAGAUGUAUGUAUGUAUGUAUAUACACUUAUAGAUAUGUAGUCAAGCUUCAAACGGGAAAGGAACAGACAGCGACACCUGUAAUGUAUGUGGAACUAUUAGGAUGACACCCACACCACAAGAUACAUAUGUAUCUAUAUUGUAUAUUCAUGUAAAAUAAUGCAUGUGCACCUAUACGUAUUCGCAAAUGUGCAAACAUAUGUACAUACAUACAAAUAUAACGCAUUGAAACAUUUUCAAGAAUUUUGCUGCUUUAGCACUGGAACCAACAGUAACAGCCAGAGAAGUUUUUCGUUGACGUACAGUUAAUUAUUUUAUAUACAUACAUAUGUACAUCGGAUACGUACUUACAUAUGUAGCACAUAAUACUGUGAAAAAAUAGCAAGAAAAAUAGCCAUGAAAACUUGCAAAUCUUAAUGUUAUACAUGAUUUCCAAGUGGUAUUAAAUUACAAAAGCAACAAAUCAAAACAAAAACAAGAGGCAUAUCAAGUGGCUUCACAGACAGUCGAACCUUUUUGUAUACUGGUGAUCUCGACAUCGUAAUCGCAAUCGUAAUCGCAAUCGUAAUCGUAAUCGUCAUCGUGGCCGCAGUCUGUGUCUCCAGCUUGCUACAAGCGUUAGUAUAGGAGCGACAAGAACACAAGGAACUAAUGAAAUAACUAAUUGAAAGGAGUCCAUCCAAACUCGAAAAGUUCCCUCAAGAAGGGUUCAUGAGAUUCGGAGUCAUUUUCACCAAGUCAGUGCGGUACGGCAGUGCCUACGCCGACGGCAAAUGGUCAAAGCAAACGACAAAGUUUUGAUUCUAUGUGCUGGUUUUUGGAUGCCGCUGCCAACCCACGGUUUUGACUGUUCUACUAUUUUACUUUUGUGCACGGCAGUAACUUUUGUGUUUCUUCAUCGAAAGCGUAAAGUGAUACAAAACAAAUACAAAGAAGAAUCAAGGUACUGGUAGAUGCGACAACGACCUUGGAUUGAAAGCCGACGCCAAUGAAGGUUUUUAGUGAGAAUUCAUGUAAUGUGUAAUCAAUUAAUUGAGUAAAUCCGCCUGAAUACUUACUCAGUUAAAUGAAAGCGGCGUCAAGAGCCAUAUGGGUCUCAACAUAAGCUGGAAAAACUAAAAUUGCAAUAAAAUCCAGAAAUUGAAUCCACUUAAUUGAAUCCACGCCAACAUCAUGGACUGUGAUUACUCAAAAUUCUUGUACAAAAGCACUAUGUGAGCGAAAAUGAUACAGACUCAUUGCUCUGGAGAGAUAUACCGGAACGAUCCAAUCCGACCAAACGAAGCUUCGACUGAAGCCGUCGUCAAGAAUUAAAUGCAAGCCCCGUGGAACAAAAUUCAUUGCCGAAAGUAAAUGAUUAGCACAU